AUGAGAUCAGUGACAGGAAUAACUAUUCUCCUAACUUUCGGUAUUGUCGGUGAUGCCAAGACCAUCCAGCCAAAUGCAAUGGAGAGUACUGAAAAGGAACCUGUGCACCUGCCCUGUAACCAUUCCACAAUCAGUGGAAGUGAGUACAUAUAUUGGUAUCGACAGAUUCCCUACCAGGGCCCAGAGUAUGUGAUUCAUGGUCUAAAAAGCACUGAGACCAAUGGAAUGGCCUCUUUGAUCAUCGCAACAGACAGGAAGUCCAGUACCUUGAUCCUGCCCCAGGUCACCCUGAGAGACACUGCUGUGUACUACUGCAUGCUGAGAGAGGCACAUUGGGACAGAUGGGGCCGCACCUGUGCAAGAUCUCCCUGGUGGAGGAAGGGAAGCAGCAGCAGCCAUCAAGAGGCCACUGCACUGGAAUGA